CACCGGCGGCCCGAGUGGUGAUCGUGAUUAUUGGGUCUAAAGGGUCCGUAGCCGGUUUGGUCAGUCCUCCGGGAAAUCUGACAGCUUAACUGUUAGGCUUUCGGAGGAUACUGCCAGACUUGGAACCGGGAGAGGUAAGAGGUACUACAGGGGUAGGAGUGAAAUCUUGUAAUCCCUGUGGGACCACCUGUGGCGAAGGCGUCUUACCAGAACGGGUUCGACGGUGAGGGACGAAAGCUGGGGGCACGAACCGG
rnacentral:rRNA from 1 species